GACGAACGCUGGCGGCGUGCUUAACACAUGCAAGUCGAACGGAAAGGCCCUGCUUUUGUGGGGUGCUCGAGUGGCGAACGGGUGAGUAACACGUGAGUAACCUGCCCUUGACUUUGGGAUAACUUCAGGAAACUGGGGCUAAUACCGGAUAGGAGCUCCUGCUGCAUGGAGGGGGUUGGAAAGUUUCGGCGGUUGGGGAUGGACUCGCGGCUUAUCAGCUUGUUGGUGGGGUAGUGGCUUACCAAGGCAGUGACGGGUCGCCGGCCUGAGAGGGUGACCGGCCACAUGGGGACUGAGAUACGGCGCAGACGGCUACGGGAGGCAGCAGGGGGGAAUAUUGCACAAUGGGAGCAAGCCUGAUGCAGCAACGUCGCGGGCGGGAUGACGGCCUUCGGGUUGUAAACCGCUUUCGCCUGUGACGAAGCGUGAGUGACGGUAAUGGGUAAAGAAGCACCGGCUAACUACGUG
rnacentral:rRNA from 1 species